GCAGUCGUGGCCCAGUGGUUAAGGCGAUGGACUAAAAAUCCAUUGGGGUCUCCCCGUACAGGUUCAAAUCCUGUCGACUGCG
rnacentral:tRNA from 1 species